rnacentral:rRNA from 1 species
UACGUAGGUCCCGAGCGUUGUCCGGAUUUAUUGGGCGUAAAGCGAGCGCAGGUGGUUUAUUAAGUCUGGUGUAAAAGGCAGUGGCUCAACCAUUGUAUGCAUUGGAAACUGGUAGACUUGAGUGCAGGAGAGGAGAGUGGAAUUCCAUGUGUAGCGGUGAAAUGAGUAGAUAUAUGGAGGAACACCGGUGGCGAAAGCGGCUCUCUGGCCUGUAACUGACACUGAGGCUCGAAAGCGUGGGGAGCAAACAGG